GAUGAAGAACGCAGUGAAAUGCGAUAAGCAAUGUGAAUUGCAGAAUCUCGUGAAUCAUCGAAUCUUUGAACGCACCUUGCGCCCUUUGGACAUUCCGAAGGGCAUGCCUGUUUGAGUAUCAUGAACACCUCAACUCUCACGGCUUGUCCGUGAUGAGCUUGGACUUUGGGGGUCUUGCCGGCCUGUGGUCGGCUCCUCUCAAAUGGAUCAGCUUGCCAGUGUUUGGUGGCAUCACAGGUGUGAUAACUAUCUGCGCUUGUGGUUUUCCAUCAGAUAACCUUCAGUGAUAUGGAGGUUCGCUGGAGCUCACAAAUGUCUCUCCUUAGUGAGGACAGCUCUUUGAACGUUUGAUCUCAAAUCAGGUAGGACUACCCGCUGAACUUAAGCAUAUCAAUAAGCGGAGGA
rnacentral:misc_RNA from 1 species